AACCACAUCAUGUUGAAAUCCCGGUUCCCGUCCAAUCACCGAAGUUAAGCAACAUUGAACCUGGCCUGUACCUAGAUGGGUGACCACUUGGGAAUACCAGGUGUUGUAAG